UGAGGAAUUUUGCGCAAUGGGAGCAAUCCUGACGCAGCAACGCCGCGUGGGUGAUGAAGGCCUUCGGGUCGUAAAGCCCUGUCAGGUGGGAAGAAUGUCCCGGGACUGAACAGGUUCCGGGAGUGACGGUACCACCAGAGGCAGCACCGGCUAACUCCGUGCCAGCAGCCGCGGUAAUAAGGAGGGUGCGAGCGUUAUUCGGAAUUACUGGGCGUAAAGCGCGUGUAGGCGGUCCCGCAAGUCUGAUGUGAAAGCCCCGGGCUUAACCCGGGAAGUGCAUUGGAAACUGUGAGACUUGAGUACUGGAGAGGAUGGGGGAAUUCCCGGUGUAGAGGUGAAAUUCGUAGAGAUCGGGAGGAAUAUCAGUGGCGAAGGCGCCCAUCUGGACGGUAACUGACGCUGAGACGCGAAAGCGUGGGGAGCAAACA
rnacentral:rRNA from 1 species